rnacentral:lncRNA from 1 species
UUUUGGUUUGGAGCGAGCAGAGCGAGCAGUCGCACCACGCUUCGCUCCACAGGCCAUACAAACGCUCCACACCGCGUGGCCGCUGCCACUCUAACCUGGUGGUCCCAGCGCGCACGACCCACGUGGAGUUCCAGGUCUCCAGCAGCCUCUGGAACUGCCGGUCUGCGGCCAACAAGGCAGAGUUCAUCUCAGCCUAUGCUACCCUCCAGUCCCUAGACUUCCUGGCGCUGACGGAAACAUGGAUCACCACAGAUAACACUGCUACUCCUACUGCUCUCUCCUCGUCUGACUACGUGUUCUCGCAUACCCCUAGAGCAUCGAGCCAGCGGGGUGGUGGCACUGGAAUCCUCAUCUCUCCCAAGUUCCCUUGGAGAGUUCAUCAAUGAGCUUGACGCCUUGAUAAGUUCCUUUCCUGAGGAUGGCUCACCUCUCACAGUUCUGGACCAUUUCCGGAGACCUUCUCCCCUACCUCACCUCGCUCAUCAACGCAUCCUUGACCGCUGGCUACGUCCCUUCCGUCUUCAAGAGAGCGAGAGUUGCACCCCUUCUGAAAAAAACCUACACUCGACCCCUCCGAUGUCAACAAC